rfam:Streptomyces chattanoogensis strain NRRL ISP-5002 ISP5002contig57.1, whole genome shotgun sequence.
CUUCACCGAGCCCAGCAGCAGCGGGCUCCCCGGGUCGCGGCCCGGUCCGUAGGUGGCGAGCAGGGCCUGGGCCUC